rnacentral:SRP_RNA from 1 species
GGCGGGUGCGGUGGCGCGUGCCUGUAAUCCAAGCUACCGGGAGGCUGAGGUUGGAGGAUCGUUUGAGCUCAGGAGCUCUGAGCUGCAGCAGGCUAUGUCGAUCGGGUGUCCGCACUAAGUUCGGCAUUGAUAUGGUGAUCCUGGGGAGCCCGGGACCACCAGGUCGUCUAAGGAGGGGUGCACCGGCCCAGGUCGGAGACGGAGCAGGUCAAAGCCCCCGUGUCGCUCAGUAGUGGGAUCGCGCCUGUGAAUAGAUGCUGUAGCGCAGCCUGAGCAAUACAGCGAGACCCAAUCUUUA